AACGAACGCUGGCGGCAUGCCUAACACAUGCAAGUCGAACGAGACCUUCGGGUCUAGUGGCGCACGGGUGCGUAACGCGUGGGAAUCUGCCCUUGGGUUCGGAAUAACAGUGAGAAAUUACUGCUAAUACCGGAUGAUGUCUUCGGACCAAAGAUUUAUCGCCCAGGGAUGAGCCCGCGUAGGAUUAGGUAGUUGGUGGGGUAAUGGCCUACCAAGCCGACGAUCCUUAGCUGGUCUGAGAGGAUGAUCAGCCACACUGGGACUGAGACACGGCCCAGACUCCUACGGGAGGCAGCAGUGGGGAAUAUUGGACAAUGGGCGAAAGCCUGAUCCAGCAAUGCCGCGUGAGUGAUGAAGGCCUUAGGGUUGUAAAGCUCUUUUACCAGGGAUGAUAAUGACAGUACCUGGAGAAUAAGCUCUGGCUAACUCCGUGCCAGCCGCCGCAGUAAGAC
rnacentral:rRNA from 1 species